AAAUUAGACUAGGGGUGCCGAUCAAAUCGGCUGAGAUAAAGAUGUGUUCUUUGACCCUUUACCUGAUCUGGAUAAUGCCAGCGUAGGGAAGUUAGGCCAUUUAUUU
rnacentral:ncRNA from 2 species